rnacentral:rRNA from 1 species
AGCGAACGCUGGCGGCAGGCCUAACACAUGCAAGUCGAGCGCCCAGCAAUGGGAGCGGCAGACGGGUGAGUAACGCGUGGGGAUCUGCCCAAUGGUACGGAAUAACCCAGGGAAACUUGGAUUAAUACCGUAUGUGCCCUUCGGGGGAAAGAUUUAUCGCCAUUGGAUGAACCCGCGUCGGAUUAGCUAGUUGGUGAGGUAAAGGCUCACCAAGGCGACGAUCCGUAGCUGGUCUGAGAGGAUGAUCAGCCACACUGGGACUGAGACACGGCCCAGACGCCUACGGGAGGCAGCAGUGGGGAAUAUUGGACAAUGGGCGCAAGCCUGAUCCAGCCAUGCCGCGUGAGUGAUGAAGGCCUUAGGGUUGUAAAGCUCUUUCGCCGGUGAAGAUAAUGACGGUAACCGGAGAAGAAGCCCCGGCUAACUUCGUGCCAGCCGCCGCAGUAAGAC